rnacentral:rRNA from 1 species
AUUGAACGCUGGCGGCAUGCCUUACACAUGCAAGUCGAACGGUAACGGGCCUUCGGGUGCCGACGAGUGGCGAACGGGUGAGUAACAUAUCGGAACGUACCUUUCAGUGGGGGAUAACGUAGCGAAAGUUACGCUAAUACCGCAUAUUCUGUGCGCAGGAAAGCAGGGGACCUUCGGGCCUUGCGCUGAUUGUUCGGCCGAGAUCAGAUUAGCUAGUUGGUGAGGUAAAGGCUCACCAAGGCGACGAUCUGUAGCGGGUCUGAGAGGAUGAUCCGCCACACUGGAACUGAGACACGGUCCAGACUCCUACGGGAGGCAGCAGUGGGGAAUUUUGGACAAUGGGGGCAACCCUGAUCCAGCCAUGCCGCGUGAGUGAAGAAGGCCUUCGGGUUGUAAAGCUCUUUCGGCCGGGAAGAAAUCGUAUGGGCUAAUACCCUGUGCGGAUGACGGUACCGGCAUAAGAAGCACCGGCUAACUACGUGCCAGCCGCCGCAGUAACAC